rnacentral:rRNA from 1 species
AGUGAACGCUGGCGGUAGGCCUAACACAUGCAAGUCGAACGGCAGCACAGUAAGAGCUUGCUCUUACGGGUGGCGAGUGGCGGACGGGUGAGGAAUACAUCGGAAUCUACUUUUUCGUGGGGGAUAACGUAGGGAAACUUACGAUAAUACCGCAUACGACGUACGGGUGAAAGCAUGGGAUCUUCGGACCUUGCGCGAUUGAAUGAGCCGAUGUCGGAUUAGUUAGUUGGCGGGGUAAAGGCCCACCAAGGCGCCGAUCCGUAGCUGGUCUGAGAGGAUGAUCAGCCACACUGGAACUGAGACACGGUCCAGGCUCCUACGGGAGGCAGCAGUGGGGAAUAUUGGACAAUGGGCGCAAGCCUGGUCCAGCCAUACCGCGUGGGUGAAGAAGGCCUUCGGGUUGUAAAGCCCUUUUGUUGGGAAAGAAAAGCAGCAGGUUAAUACCCCGCUGUUCUGACGGUACCCAAAGAAUAAGCACCGGCUAACUUCGUG